rnacentral:rRNA from 1 species
CUACGGGUGGCAGCAGUGGGGAAUAUUGCACAAUGGAGGAAACUCUGAUGCAGCAACGCCGCGUGGAGGAUGACACUUUUCGGAGCGUAAACUCCUUUUAUAUAGGAAGAAGAUGACGGUACUAUAUGAAUAGGCGCCGGCUCACUCCGUGCCAGCAGCCGCGGUAAUACGGAGGGCGCAAGCGUUACUCGGAAUCACUGGGCGUAAAGAGCGUGUAGGCGGAUUAAAAAGUCAGAAGUGAAAUCCUAUAGCUUAACUAUAGAACUGCUUCUGAAACUCUUAAUCUAGAAUAUGGGAGAGGUAGAUGGAAUUUCUGGUGUAGGGGUAAAAUCCGUAGAGAUCAGAAGGAAUACCGAUUGCGAAGGCGAUCUACUAGAACAUUAUUGACGCUGAGACGCGAAAGCGUGGGGAGCAAACAGGAUUAGAUACCCCCGUAGUC